rnacentral:piRNA from 1 species
UUCAACUCAACAAAGAAACUGUUCCUG